rnacentral:rRNA from 1 species
GACGAACGCUGGCGGCGUGCCUAAUACAUGCAAGUCGAGCGAAUUGAUGGGAGCUUGCUCCCUGAUAUUAGCGGCGGACGGGUGAGUAACACGUGGGUAACCUGCCUGUAAGAUUGGGAUAACUCCGGGAAACCGGAGCUAAUACCGGAUAACAUUUCGAACCGCAUGGUUUGAAAUUGAAAGAUGGUUUCGGUUAUCACUUACAGAUGGACCCGCGGCGCAUUAGCUAGUUGGUGAGGUAACGGCUCACCAAGGCAACGAUGCGUAGCCGACCUGAGAGGGUGAUCGGCCACACUGGGACUGAGACACGGCCCAGACUCUUACGGGAGGCAGCAGUAGGGAAUCUUCCGCAAUGGACGAAAGUCUGACGGAGCAACGCCGCGUGAACGAUGAAGGCCUUCGGGUCGUAAAGUUCUGUUGUUAGGGAAGAACAAGUACCAGAGUAACUGCUGGUACCUUAACGGUACCUAACCAGAAAGCCACGGCUAACUACGUGCCAGCAGCCGCCGUAA